UUUUUCUUACAGUCAAUGACCGCUCCGUGACUUGAUAACCAAUCCAUCCCGAGGAUUACAUCAAACUCUCCAAGAAGAAUCGGUAUCAAAUCCACGUUAAGCUUAAAUCCUCUUACAUUAGCACAACAGUUCCUAUAGAUGUUGUCUACAGGGAUAAUUUCUUUGUUUGCUACUUCUACAUUUAUUGGGUGUUCUAAUUGUUCGCGAGGUAAACUUAAUCUUUGAGCAAAUUCAUCAGAUACAAAAGAACAUGAAGCUCCCGAAUCGAAUAACACAUAGGCAUUUAUAUCAUUGAUCGAAAUUAUACCUGACACCACCU
rnacentral:lncRNA from 1 species